CUACAGAGUGGGUCUAGGUCCAGGUACAGUCUCAGAACCACACUGCAAAACUGGCUUAGUCAGGUAGCUGCUGUAUCUGCUGCUUCCACUGUGAACUCAAAAACCACAUUGCCUGUGCUGCAGGCCGGAAAGCUGCUGAACCAGGAAGCUGUGCUGAUGCUGCUGACUGCCCCUGAGGUUAGAGAUUGACUAGACAUAGUGCCACUGUCAUCCCUGCUGGAGAAGGUCCGAAGCACCUCCACCUCUGUGCUUCCAGAGGGGCACUGUGGUGGCCACUUAAAAUGCUCAGGCUAUACCAUGCACUAGAGCAUCUACCUGGGCAAGGGAUAUGCUGUAUGACACUCUCCUGAUGCUGGGCAUGGCUGUGAGCCAAAGCACCCAGGCAGCCCUGCCAUCAGAAGGGUAAACCACGGACACCUGAUGCCUUCCUGAAGGAAGAGCACUACGCCUGCCAAACCAUCAAGCGUUGAUGCUCCAGCGCCUUCUACCCGUGGUUCUCCAGCCUCAGCAGAAGAGAGAGAAAUUGAUGACCCUGUCGUUGUAGCAUCCCCAUCACCCAGCAAUUAAUUUUAGUUCAAUGCUUCAAACGCUCUUCAGGCGCAGUGUGCGUUCAGCUGUGUCAGCUAAUGCAAAUGGGGGAUCUCAGAAGUCUUAAUGAAGUAACUAUCCCUGAACACUGGGAUCAAUACUCAGCAUCCAGCUGUCAAAUCAACACCAAGCGUUUCACUCGUCGCCCAGCCUAGAGUGCAAUGGCGCUAUUUCGGCUCAUUAUAACCUCCGCCUCCCGGGUUCAAGCAAUUCUUCUGCUUCAGCGUCCCAAGUAGCUGGGAUUACAGCCGCCUCCUGGAGCAGAUUGUUAAGCUGAUGCGAGUCUGGGCUCUGCCUCACCACUUGUCUCAGAGACAGAGUCUUGCUCUGUCACCUAGGCUGGAGUGCAGUGGUGCCAUCACAGCUCACUGCAGCCUCGACCUCCCCGUGCUCAAGUGAUCCUCACACCUCAGCCUCCCGAGUAGCCGCGAUCACAAGUUAAACAAACACAGUUCUUUACAUCAAUGCUUCCGUCCCUGGCCAUCUGGUCUCCUGUCCCCUCCAGACCCAAAACCAUGGGCUGGGCUGCAGCAAAAUGAGGGUGUACUCAGUGCACUGAGGCCCAUGUACCAUGAGAGAUGGUGAGAGAAAGCCUUGGCCGGAGUUUAAGGAUUUGGGGCUGGGCACAGUGGCUCGUGCCUGUAAUCCUAGCACUUUGGGAGGCCAAGGCAGGAGGAUCACUUGAGGCCAAGAGUUUGAGACCAGCCUGAGCAACAUAGUGAGACUCUCAUUUCUAAAAAUAAAAAAGUUAGGCCUGGCACAGUGGCUCAUGCCUAUAAUCCCAGCAGUUUGGGAAGCUGAAUCAAGAGGAUCACUUGAGGCCAGGAGUUUGAGCCCAGCCUGGUCAACAUAGUGAGACUUUAUCACUACAAAAAGUUUUUAUUUAUUUAUUUUUUUUGAGACAGGGUCUCGAUUCAUCACUUAGGCUGGAGUGGAGUGUGCAAUCACAGCUCACAGCUCACAGCAGCCUCGACCUCCUGGGUUCAAGCCAUCCUCCCACCUCAGCCUCCUGAGUAGCUGGGACUACAGGCAUACACCACCAUGUCUGGCUAAAUUUUUGUACUUUUUGUAGAGACAGGGUUUCGCCAUGUUGCCCAGGCUGGUCUCUAGCUCCUGGGCUCAAGCAAUCUGCCUGCCUCAGCCUCCCAGAGGCCUGGAACUACAGGCGUGAGCCGCUGCUCUUGGCCAUUUUUAAUUUAAGAGACAGAGUCUCGCUUUGUUACCCAGGCUGGAGUGCAGUACCCUUACUGCAGCCUUGAACUACUGGGCUCAAGCCAUCCUCCCACCUCAGCCUCUCAAGUAGCUGGGACUACAGGUGUGUGUCCCCAUGCCCAGCUGACUGAGCUACCACCAUGCCACUGCAUGCCAGUUGUGACAAAGUGAGACCCUGUCUCUAAAAAAUAAUUAAAUAAAAUGUUUAAUGGUGUUCUGGGUCCUUACUUCAUGGACACUUUCCACUAUGCAGCCUGCCACUGAUUUCAUGUAAAGGCAAAACCAAAAGAGAUCCUUUGCUAAAUUA
rnacentral:lncRNA from 1 species